UACAGAGGGGGCAAGCGUUAUUCGGAAUUAUUGGGCGUAAAGGGCGCGUAGGCGGCAUCGCAAGUGGAAGGUGAAAUCCCUUGGCUUAACCGAGGAACUGCCCUCCAACUGCGUUGCUUGAGGCCGGGAGAGGUGAGUGGAAUUCCCAGUGUAGCGGUGAAAUGCGUAGAUAUUGGGAGGAACACCAGUGGCGAAGGCGGCUCACUGGACCGGUUCUGACGCUGAGGCGCGAAAGCGUGGGGAGCAAACGGG
rnacentral:rRNA from 1 species